UCAAUCUCGUGCGGCUAUAUAUACCGCCGGUCCCUCUAAGAAGAUUUUCAUUGUACGCCGGUAGUUGAAGACCGCACGACGCGCGACCGCGACGCGUGAGCGCCGCGGGACGCGCGCGCGCGGACCCUCGUGAUACCGGUUGCACGUCUAUUUAAUAGGCUAGAGUUACGUUCGUUAC
rnacentral:rRNA from 1 species